UUCCGGAGAGACGGUGAACAACCAGGGACUGGAAUGUUUAAGAUUCCUCAAAAUAUCUGAUUUUCACGUGGUAUGCUUAAACGGUAUUGUCAUAUUCAACGGCCAACGCUCGUCUAAAUUACAUAAGACUAAUGAACGUUACAGCUUUUUGAGCAACCACGGUACCAAGACAUCAUUAAAAUCAAAACUAUUGGUUCAUCUUAUAUGGCGGCUAGCUGGUUAAACUCGGCAAGAAAGGUUAAGGCCGAAGAUUCAAUCGAAAUAAGAUGGGCACAUCUAGCGUUUCUCGUCGACUUCGCUGUUGAUCUGAAAAAAUAAUUGCAAUGAUUUAACGAACAAAGUUUCAACCACUUUGUAUUACAAAUGGCUUCACUUCCUGGUAUGUGGACAAGAACCAUAAAAAUUGGCAGCUUAAACAUUUAACAUGACUAGUUGGAAACUUGGUCAGGCGUAUCGUCCAGAUUAUCUCAUAAAGAAUAUGCAAGUUGAUCAUCAAAUUGCAAUUUUCACAUGUCCUACAACAUGGCAAGUAUGUUUUAAUUUAUAACAGUUUUGUAACUGAGUUAUCUAAACU